GAUGAAGAACGUAGCGAAAUGCGAUACGUAAUGUGAAUUGCAGAAUUCAGUGAAUCAUCGAAUCUUUGAACGCACAUUGCGCCUGCCAGCACUCUGGCAGGCAUGCCUGUUCGAGCGUCAUUUCAACCAUCAAGCCCUAGGCUUGCGUUGGAGCCCUGCGGCUGCCGCAGGCCCCUAAAAGCAGUGGCGGGCUCGCUAUCACACCGAGUGUAGUAGAUUACUCUUCGCUCAGGGCGUGUGGCGGGUUCCAGCCGUGAAACCCCCUACUUCUCAAGGUUGACCUCGGAUCAGGUAGGAAUACCCGCUGAACUUAAGCAUAUCAAUAAGCGGAGGA
rnacentral:misc_RNA from 1 species